rnacentral:rRNA from 1 species
GUCAGAGGUGAAAUUCUUGGAUUUAUGAAAGACGAACUACUGCGAAAGCAUUUGCCAAGGAUGUUUUCAUUAAUCAAGAACGAAAGUUGGGGGCUCGAAGACGAUUAGAUACCGUCGUAGUCUCAACCAUAAACGAUGCCGACUAGGGAUUGGAGGAUGUUCUUUUGAUGACUUCUCCAGCACCUUAUGAGAAAUCAAAGUUUUUGGGUUCCGGGGGGAGUAUGGUCGCAAGGCUGAAACUUAAAGGAAUUGACGGAAGGGCACCACCAGGCGUUAACAAAGCUGAAAGCUCUAGCGCCUUACACCAUCAAAUUGCGGGGAGUUCCUAAAGCUGCGUACUACCAAAUUGACAGGGAAACCUAGUCAAUGGCCAAGCUAACCACUUGGGUAUGGUAAAAACGUACCAGAUGAAGCGACCCCUGUCGCUGAAAUGGAUAAUCCGCAGCCAAGUCCUAAGGGCAUUAAGCCUACGGAUGCAGUUCACAGACUAAAUGGUGGUGGGCACUGUAUUUACAACGCUACCUCAACUCGAUGGUUUAUGCAUAAAAAAUCUUGCGGGUCCAGCGUUUUAUACUUUUGGUGGUGACUUGUCGUCUGCCACCAUGGGCAGCUUCCCAAAAGAAGCUGUGCAUCAGUGCUUAAGAUAUAGUCGGUCCCAAUCGAGAGAUUGUCGAUAGGAGGACUGCUGUUUACAGCUGAGAGCCUAUUGAACAUUGCUAUAAUACUGCUCGGAGCAACCCAAGCAGGGCAGCAAGCUUGCCGCCUGCAAUGUGGAUUAAACGGGAGCCUGCGGCUUAAUUUGACUCAACACGGGAAAACUUACCAGGUCCAGACAUAGUGAGGAUUGACAGAUUGAGAGCUCUUUCUUGAUUCUAUGGGUUGAUAGUAUUUUGCACUAACUGCCCAUGAAAGCAAGUCGUCCGAGUUAAUCGCCGGGCAAAGCGACUUGCUAGUCACUACUAGACCGUUAUUUGGCUAGGACUAGUAGUUGGCAAGACCGUCGAAUUGCGGGAACACCCUUAGAGCCUAUGCUACCAACCUGGCUGGGAAACCAAGUCAGGGGCCGGGGUAAUGACCUAGGGUAUGGUAAAAACGCAUAGGAUUGGGCAAUCCGCAGCCAAGCUCCCUAACAGGUUCAAAACGCUGAGGGAGAAGGUUCAGAGACUAGGUGGCGGUCGGUCGUUUGCUCUUUGAGUAAAGAGAGCGAGUGGCUUAAGAUAGAGUCCGACUGUAGUUGAAAGACUAGCCUAGAAGGAAAACCCUAGCCGGGUCGGAGUCUAGGCGGGUGCUUUUGUUCCAUCAAAGCACUUGGAGCAUUCGGGUGGUGCAUGCCGUUCUUAGUU